CCGCCAGGAAGGAUUCAGUGGGCUUUGUGUAAGGGGAUUAAAGCUUUAGCCUGCUCAGCAGGGAGAAAGCCUCUGUGAUGGAGUUCUGUGGCUGUGUGGCCAUGCUUCCAUGUGUCCACGUGGUCAUGUGGGCAGCCGUACGCCCUGAUUCAAAGGCGGCAGGGGUUGUGGCUGGAAAUAGGAGCCGCUGGGGACAGCCUCCCUAGAGAGGUGGGUAUGUGUGUGCCAUGUGCCUGUGUCCCCUCAGGGGCCCAAGGAGGAGUGCUUCUGAGGGAGGAGAGCAGAGGCCAGCAGGAAGAGAUGCCCUGAAGAGAUCUGAGCCCCGGUAGGAGGGACAGAGGGGUCUUACAGAGAUCCUAAAACCCAAGGAGGACCAGUUGUCACUCCCAUUUCCCUGACAGGAGCCUGAAGCUCAGAAACAGCAGGCAUCUUGUGCACUGUCACAAAGCAAGUCAGCAGCAGAGCUGAAACCAGAAACCAGCCUCCUGGUCCAGGGCUCAGUCACUGCUCUAGCCAAGUCUGGCUAGCCGCAGGGGCCCUGUCAGUCCACUCUCUGUAACGCCUCUUCUUCUUGUCCCAACCCCGGAAGAGGGACCUGAUGAGGGGGGAGGCUGGGGUGAGAAUCUUCCCAAGAGCCUUUUGCAUCUGGACAGGGAUGGUGGGCACGUGGGGGUAGUUAUCAGAUCCCAAAUGGGGGAUUCUGACAGGUCAUGGGGCAUGUGUCACAAUAGGCCAUCAAGACUGUCGACAGGAAUCUGUGUGAGGGCCUUUUUCUUUUCUUUUUAAAUACUUAUUUAUUUUGAGAGACAGAGAGUGAGCGAGCUGGGGAGAGAGGCAGAGAGACAGAAUCCUGAGCAGGCUCCAUGCUGUCAGUGCAGUAUCCAACACAGGGAUCGAUCCCACAAAACCUGAGCUGAAAUCGAGAGUCAAACGCUUAACCAACUGAACCACCCAGGAGCCCCUAAUGAGGAUCUUUUUCUACAGAAGAAGUGGGGUGACUUUUAAUGCUCUCGAGAGAGCCACCUGGAAUGGGGGGGUAGUCUGGGUCUGCGUGGAGUACAGUUGGCCCUGGAGCAGUUCGGGAUGUGUGUCCAAACCCUGUGCCAAAGAAGACCACAGACAGAAGGGACAAGAGCCUUGGAGCCCAGCUAGUGGCGUUUUGAGCCCUGGGGUGGAAGCGGGUCUCAGUGGGACAGAGGGCCUUCCCCUGUCUUCUCAGAAUGCAGCACGGCUUUUGCACAAUGGAGAUGUGAUUUAGGGAAGAGAAACUUGGCAUACGGUGGGAAGCAGUCAUUUGGGUAGAGGACAUCCUAAGGGGGCUGGAGGAGAGGAAGAAUGUGCGGAUAGUGGCUAACAACACGCCGAUUUGCCAGCUCAUGUGAAACACACACAGGAAAGUACCUCCACUGUCACUGUCGAAGCCAGGUGAGCUCAUUCUCCUAGCCUGUGGGGCCCAGGCUGGGUGCUGGGCAGACACACCCCUAAGCUGUCAGAAGAAGGAAGACAGCAAUGCUUCAUUCCCCAAAUGGAUUUGCUAAUGGGGGGGAGGUCAGGGGAGACAUUUUGACUCCUGAACUUGGAGUCAGAGAGCCAGAGUCUGAUCCUUGGGCUUUACUCGUGAGCUCUAUGACAUGGUCAAGUGGGAAUGAGUGUCCUCUGAGACAGGAUGGCUGAGAAAUGAGAACUUUGAGAGGCGUUGUCUACUUGAGGGACACUUGCUGGGACUAGGCCACUCAGAAGGCUGUCCCUGGUACGUCCCUUGGAGGCCUUGGGCCAACCAGGUCGGUGUCAGUGGUGUGGGAGUGGUGAAGGCGGAGACAGGACCCAGGGCUCUGCCUCUGCAUGGGAGAAACGCCCCCCCCCCACUGCCCUGUCCCCUGGGAUAAGUCUUGCAGGUCAGCUGGCUCCCCACCCCGUUUACUUCCUCCUCCUUCUGACAGGGGCCCCAAGCCAGAGGCGUGGCCAGGCACAAGGAGAAAAGCUGGGGAGAGGGGGAGGAAAGGGUGGGGACAGACCAGCCCCUACCCCACUGCCCUCUCCACCCCUAGCCUGGCCUGCACUGGCCAGGGCUGCCUGAGUCUCCUUACUGGCCUUGGGCUCAGAACCUUGGAGCCAGAGCUUAGAGCCGGGCUCCCUGUCUCUGUGUGGCCGGUGUGGGUAAGGUCUCCUCAUCUAUAAAUGGUAUGUGGCAGGGGAGGUCUGACCCAAAACACCCACAGUAGGGCCCUCCUGAUAGAGUCCCGGGGUGGCCCCCUUUCUUCCCCCUUCUUGUGCCACGUUCUAGGUCACACUCUCAGCACUUGAGAAAAGCCUGAGAAAGCAGGGGAUGUGCUGCGUCCAUUGUUCAGAUGCAGAAGGUGAGGCUUGGUGCCCCACCUAGUGAGUCAGCAGAGGCGAAGACCGAGCGCCAUCUCCUGGUGUCCAGCCGGGUACUCUCCCCUGCCCCUCUGCAAUUAGCAGGAGACAGAGCUGCCUUCCCCACCCCCCUCAGGGCCCCAGGUCGUCCAGUCCAGACAGGCUCGGCAGGAAUCUGCUCUGGUCAGAACUGCCUUCUGUGGAGCUGCCUCAGGCUGGGCCCCAGGCCCCAAGGUCCUGGGGACAUUGCUUUCUGUUUACUUUCUGCCUGGCUUCUGCACGCAUUGUGGUUUCCACUUGGAAGUUCUGUGGUGGGAACUGUGGGGCCUGUUCUGGGGGCUGAGCUGCAUCUGUGGGAAAGUUUGGGCUCUGCUGACAGCCUACAGCCGCCGCCAAGACCCUAGUCCCUGGAUUCCCACGGCGUGGGCCGUGGGCUCAGCUCCUCCAGUCACUGUCUCUACCUGGGCUUGUUUAGUGUGAGCAGACGGCCAGAUCCUCCAGCAAGGGAGCCAGAGGGAUCUUCUAGUUCACAGAUGGGGAAAUUAAGGGCAAAGACAGGCGGGAACUUGUCCACGGCCCCUCCUUGCCUACAGCAGGGCUGGGACUGAAAUGAAACAGCCUGAUUCUCAAUUCAGGGAGCUGUCCAUGGGGCUUGAGAUCCCCUCAUUCCUCUUGGCUUCACUGGGGAGGGGUGGACACGCAGGGGUGCCUGAAGCCCUGAGUUUCCCAUGACUUGCUCUGAAAGGGGCCUGGCCCACUUUCCCAACUGUGCCCUGGCCUAGGCCCAGGCUCUGGGCAGAAGGGAGUUGGGAGGGAGCCACCCCCUGCUCUUGAUCUCCCUUGGGUCCCCUUGGUGGACUGGCUGCGGGGGAGCCCAGCUAGUCCCUGAGAACUUGACCCGCAACUGGAGGGCUACAGCAUUCCUCCCCAGCAGGCGGGCUCCGCUGUGCUCGGGUCUGGGAACCAGCCCUCAAAUUUGAGUUCCAGCUCCUCUCUCUCCCCUACCUCCUGGCCCAGCAACUCUGGGCAGCCCAUCCCAGCUCCCUGUGCUUAGGACUCAGGACAAUCCCCACCUUCCAGAGGAUAAUGUGAGCAGCAUGUGUGAGCUGCAGAAUGCUCAGCGCACACAUGGGAGCUGAGGCCAAUGGCCAAUGAGAGAGCCCAGCUGGGAAGAGGCUGAGUCUGGCUUUGACAGGCCUGCUUCAGGCCCCAGGGAAUGUGGUGACAGUGCGGAGCCUUCCCUGGAGAAUCCUUGCCCUCUCUAGGGAGUGUUGAGACACUGUGUUGGGGGAGGGGGCCCCAGCCUGCAGGGCUGGGAUGCCGGCUGCCUAGCUGGGCCGAGGUCUCUGUGAGGGGAGCUGAUAAUUGAGCCAUCUCUCAGGGAGCCGACCCUGAUUUUUAUUAAUCUGCAGGACAAAGGAAGCGGCGCUGUCCUGCUGAGGAGACUGAGAGAAGGAGAGGAGAUGAAGGGGAAGUCGUUUAUCUUCCCAGCCUCUCCUGCUCGGGGAUUUUUUGGUGUGUGAGGAGGAAGAGGAAACCAACACAGCACUCUGGAGGAGGAGGCCUCUGCUGCUCCUGUCCCUGGCUGGGCUCUGCUCUUCGUCCCGGCCGCCUGUCUCUUUAAUCCAUUUAACACCUCCUCAUCGCUCAGGCCCCCAGGGCCUCCUUGACAACUGAGAAACUCCCGGGGCCCCAGUCACAGGAACCCCUGGACUUGCCGCUCCUGGUGCUGGCGGGGCUGUUCCCCAGGAGGGGACAGACUUCAAGGUCGGGCUGACGCCGGCUGACCUUGAAAGCUUCCCCGGCCUCCCCUGACGUGUCUCCGCUCUCCAAGCUCAGUGAGCUCCAUCACAUUAAAAAGCUGUUAAAAGCGCCAUCUGGUUCACUGCCUCCAAGGCUCUGCGAUCGAUGGCCGCUGGGGCGAGCUCGGUUCAGGGACGGGCCUCUGCAAGGGUCCACCCUGGGGACCCAGGCCCGAGGGUCUGCCUGACCGCCCACUCAAACUCAAGGAAGGGCAGUGAGAGGGGGACCAAACAUUCAGGGUAGGGAGGGUGCUGCACAGGGGGUGAAAGGCGCCCCCUGGAGUUAUGCUGUGGUUAGGGUUAAUACCCUGUGUUAAAUGCUUUAGGUAAAUGAACUCAUUUGAUCUUCACAGCAACACUGAGAAGUAGGGCUAUUAUUAACCCCAUUUUGCAGCUGGAAAAUGGGAGGCACAGAGAGGUUGAAUAACUUACUCCAGGCCACAGAGCUGGUAAGUGGCAGGACUAGGGUGGAACCCUGAGAUUCUGGUUCCAGAACUCCCCACAGCGUCUGGUGCUGGGGGGCUGCUCCCUGGGAGGAAACAAGGCUUUCCCUCACAACCUCACAGCAGUCCUGAGAGAGAAGUCUAAUCAUGCUGAAGUCACAAAUAAAAGAACGGGGUCGAAGGGUGCCUCAGGAACAUUAAGCUACUGCUCCAGGGUCACACAGCUAGUAGGCAGAUGAGGAGACACUCAGCUCCAGAAGCCACUGGCUUCAACUUCACCUGCAGGGCUUUUUAAUGUCCACCCUCCUACUCUGCCCCCAGUAUAUGGCCAGGGCUGCAUGUGGCGACCUCUUCUCGGCUGUGCUUGCCCCACACUUAUAGACACAGAAAGCUUCUGUCUGGAGAUUGCCAGAGUAGCCUGAACUGGACGUCAGAACUGCGUGGCUUUGGCCUUGAGUUGCCAGGUGGCCACAGAUAAGCCCUUUCCCUCCCUGGGCCCGCAUUUCCUCAGGCAAGGUGUCUGGGAGCUGGUGGGUUAGAUAGGUGGGAUCGUCAGAAGCUGGUGGUGAGGGGCUAUGGUAAGUGGGCACGGUGCCAGGGCCCUUUCUUAAGUUCUAAACCAACCUGGCUACAGGUUUCCACAGAAGGCUCCAUGGACCUCCAGAGCCUUUUGUCUGCCUGCUAGUGGUUUUUAAUGCCCUUGUGAGUUCUGGCAGCUUCAAAGCCCUCAGACUUGCAGCCAAUCCCUCCUAGGCUGUCACCCCAAGCUGCCCUGGUCUCCCUGGGGACACAUCCUAAGCAGAGCAGGGGGCAGGGGCGGCAAGGGGAGGGAUUCCCCAGGGGAGAUGAGAAGUCAUGUCGCACAGCUGACUUUGCUGGAUGUCCCCACUCCCACCCUGGUCCCAACCCGCAUGUGGCUGUGAUGAGCCCACAACUUAUUUGUGGGAUCUUCGUAUUAACCCAUAAAGGUCCACCUUCCAGAGGUGCCUGGGUAGCUCAGUCAGGUAAGUGUCCGACUUUGGCUUAGGUCAUGAUCUCACAGUUUGUGAGUUUGAGCCCUGCAUCAGGCUGUCUGCUAUCAGCAUAAAGCCUGCUUCAGGGCCUCUGUCCCCUCUUCUCUCUGCCCCUCCCCUGCAUGUGUGUGUGCACUCUCGUUCUCUCUAAAAAAUAAAUAAACAUUAAAAAAAAAGGUCCACCUUGCAAUGACAAAUUUAAUGUCAAGGUCUACGUGAUGUGUUCCUCUCUCUCCAUCACCUUUCCCACCUCAUCGCCUCCCACUCUUCCUCUGCUCCCUCUGCUCCCUCUGCUCUACAGCCUCUCUGCUAUACUCAAACAUACCACAUCCACUGUGACCUCAGGGCCUUUGCACUGGCAACACUUCCAUACCGUGUUCCUUUCUCAGAGUCUACAUGGUUGGUAAACUUCAAGUCUCCUCCAAGUCUCUGCUCUUGAUUUCUACUUUCCCACCAAGGCCUGCACUGACCACUCAACUUCAGACUGACUCCUCCCGGCCCUCCCCAUCCUCCUAACCCUGCUCCAUUGCACUCCAUGGAUUUAUCAACUUUUGGAACUUUGUAAUUGACUUUUUGAUUUGCUUUCUCCUUCUCCCCCAUUAGAAUAUAAGCUCUAGGAGAGCAGGGAGUUUUGUUUUGUUCAAUAUCAAAUCCCUCCUCAGCACUUAGAGUAGUACUUAAAAACAGUGUAGGUGCUCAACAAAUAUCUGUGGAAUAAAUGAAUGGAUGAACGAAUGAAUGAAUUUCAGUGUAUCUCAAGGAAUAACCAUAACAUUUAUUUGUUUAGGGACUAGGAAUGAAGCCUUGGAAGAUACAGGUUGGAGCCUCACCUCUGCCCUACCUUUGGUGUGUGACCUUGAACAGGUCACUCCAUGCCCUGCCCCCUCACAGGACUGCAGCUCCUGAAUAGAUGGCCUCCAGAAAAGGGCUUGCAGUUGGCAUACCUACAGGACUGCUCUCUGCCCCACGUGGCGCCCCCAUACCCUGGCUUUGUGAUCUCAACACUUGACAGAGUCACCCAACUUCUCUGGGGUUCACUUUCUCCAUCUCUAAAAUGGAGGACAAUGCAGAUCAAGCCCAGUGAGCAGGUGGCACUGUGCCUAGGACUUGGUGAACCCGCUGCAAAGGUUCACUCCAUUCAGACGCCGCCAGAUGUCAAUGGCAAGGAAUGGCCUUCACCACUUAGCUUCCAACGGUCAGACUGUCCUUGGCCCUCUCUAAUGAAGGAGGGAGGUGUCACCAGAAGCAGAGGACAGCAGAGCUGGCAGGGACUGUGCAGGUUAGCAGAGUGGUUGCUGACCCCAGAGAGAGUCGGGAGCUCGUUCAAGGGUGUGCCUGCUGAGCCGCCCUUUACUGAGCACCUGCUAUGGAUCUGGCUAGUUCUAGAAGGUUUCAUCUCACUGUUCUCUGGGUGUCCCUGGGGGAUCCCUGGCAGGCAGGCCUCACUGUCCUGCCUGAAGCAUGUCCAAGGUCUCAGAAUAUAGGAGAUUUCAGGGCGCCUGGGUGGCUCAGUCUGUUGGGCGUCUGACUUUGGCUCAGGUCAUGAUCUUGUGGUUCGUGAGUUUGAGCCCCGCAUCGGGCUCUGUGCUGACAGCUCAGAGCCUGGAGCCUGCUUCAGAUUCUGUGUCUCCCUCUCUCUCUGCCCCUCCUCCUCUCGCACUCUGUCUCUCUCUCUUUCAAAAAUAAAUAAACAUUAAAAAAUUAAAACAAAAAAGAAUAUAGGAGAUUUCAGGGGUGUGUGCUCCCUCUUUCCACAUCUUCUCCCCAUCAGGUGAGGGUAUAUGUGUGGGCAGGAGGCAGACCUGGGGUGGAGAAUUAACCUCCUGGUUCUGAACAAUGUAAGGGCUAGAAGCCCCCUGAUGAGAGCUAGGGACCUUUUCCUUAAAGAGAAGCACAUGUCCACAUUCAGAGGCUGAAACCACUGUCCCUUAGGACCCCGUAAGGAGUCAGUCAGCAUCUGGCACUGCUGCCCUUGGGGCCAGGGCUGGCCUCAUCUCUGUUACUUGAUUUCCAGGCGUCCAUGCUCUUCAGCUGCACUAUCAGGUCUCCAGUGCCAGCAUCCACUGUGAACCCCGGGUGCUCACUGCCAUGAUCUCGUCGGCAGCUGGGCCCUAGAGGUGGCACACAGUUCCCUGGACACUUAUGACUGGGUUAGAGAUGGGAGAGCCUGGGGCCGAUGGUGCGAGCCAUCCCCAGCCCCACCUCUCUCAGGACCUUUCUGGGGCUCAGGCACAUGGGCCACUGAGAAAGACCCAGGCUGGUGUGGUGGGGAGGGACAAGACGUGCAGCGGGAAGUAGGAAGAAUGCCAGUCAAGAGAGUUCUCUAGCUCUGGUUCUUGCAAAAGCCUUGAAAGGAAGGCAGCGAAAGGGUAAUGCAUCCACUUCAUGGUGGAAGAAAUCGAGGCCCAGAGCAACCACAGAGCACACAGAUCAAGGAAGUGAGAACGAGGAUUUGAGUCUGCUAAUUGCCUCCAGAGGCCUCGUCUUGUCCCAAUGGAUGGAACAUUGUCGACUAUUUAAGUCAGCAUCGAGCAGCUACCAUCUACAGAAUCCUGUCAGACAACCAGGAGGGCACAGAGCCAUGGGGAACAUAGAACCACUGGAAGCAUCCAGAGCAGUAAUGAUAAUCAUAUAAUAACAAAGGAAUAAUAACAGCUAACAUUUUGGGAGCGCUUACUAGGAGACAGCAAUACGCUAGGCAAUUGUCAUGGAUUAUGUCCUUUAAGCUCUCAAACGCUUGGUUAUAGGUAGCAGUACACCCAUUAUUUUCGUUUGUUUUUAGUUCCCAGAAGUGGAUGUCCAUUUUUGAGAAUAGAAGCUCAGCAAAAUUAACUGGUUUGCCCUGAACAAAGGUGAUAUUUUGCUGAGGCUCCAUCCCUCACCACCUGGGCAUUGUCUGGGCCUGUGUCAAGCUGGGAAGGCGUCCCCUAGACCUGGCUCAAGUUGGCUGGGUUAGGGUGAGUAGACAGGCUGUGGGUAGGCACCACCCUAGACUGCUCUACAAGAAUUGUACUCUCUGUGCCUUCUCCGGGCCUCAGUUUCCCCAGCUUUGGAUCUUCUGACCUCUAAUGUCCUUGAGUCUGUGAUCUGAGCCAGAUGCUUGAGGCUGAGUGAAAGGCUUAUGGUCUCUGCAGGAGCAAAGAACGACUUGACAGAGAAGACUGCUGGGGGCCAGGGGGAUGACACAGGCAGGAACAAAUGAAAAUACCCCAGUGGGAGCACAGCCUUCCAAAGUGAGUCCCGGUGCCAGGGAGAGUCUUGGGGACAAGGGUCAGCCUUCCUCCCAGCCCUACCCUCAACCAACCCCCGGGGCAGCAGCACCCUCCCGGCCCCCCUCCCCUCGCAACAAAGGCCAGCAGAAUAUCUGAUCAAUCAAGACAGCAAAGAAAGCAAUGAUAGGAGAAGAAGGGCCGGCAUUGAGCCACAUCAACCCUCUUUGUGGGACUCAGUUUCCCCUUUGUGACUGGAGGGAGCUGGCUCUUCAGUUAUUCAGAGGAUUUUCUUCCCGGGCUGGCCCAGGAGCAGGAAAGGUGAGGGUGGUCCCGCCCUUCCCCACCCCGUCUGUGAUUACAGUCACCACUUCCCUCCCUCCCCUCUUCUCCUCUCCCUUUCCCCUCCCCUCCCACCCCUCCCACUCUUUCACAGCCCCCAGCGUGCUGUGCAGUUAUUAGUUUAGGUUCAUUUAGAAUCGGCUUAGCAACCCUACACCCCUGGAACCUGGAAGCUUAAAGCACAAGAUGUCUGGCAAAUGGAAAUUCAAUUGCUUUAAUAUAGAGACUAUUUUGCUGCAGUCGAACUGGAGCCUCUUAUUAAGAAUCUGAUGGAAUUUCUAAACAGGGAGAGAGGCCCCAAGGAGGGGGCAUCGCCCAUCACACACCAACAUUGCUCUUGACAUAUUUAUGGCUCCAAUAAAAUCUCCCAUCUGGUAUAUUUUAAAAUAAAAUUGAAAAUUUAUCACUU
rnacentral:lncRNA from 1 species